AAUAGAUACCCGGGUAGUCCACGCCGUAAACGAUGAGUGCUAAGUGUUAGAGGGUUUCCGCCCUUUAGUGCUGCAGCUAACGCAUUAAGCACUCCGCCUGGGGAGUACGGCCGCAAGGCUGAAACUCAAAGGAAUUGACGGGGGCCCGCACAAGCGGUGGAGCAUGUGGUUUAAUUCGAAGCAACGCGAAGAACCUUACCAGGUCUUGACAUCCUCUGCCAACCCUAGAGAUAGGGCGUUCCCCUUCGGGGGACAGAGUGACAGGUGGUGCAUGGUUGUCAUCAGCUCGUGUCGUGAGAUGUUGGGUUAAGUCCCGCAACGAGCGCAACCCUUGAUCUUAGUUGCCAGCAUUCAGUUGGGCACUCUAAGGUGACUGCCGGUGACAAACCGGAGGAAGGUGGGGAUGACGUCAAAUCAUCAUGCCCCUUAUGACCUGGGCUACACACGUGCUACAAUGGAUGGUACAAAGAGCUGCGAACCCGCGAGGGUAAGCGAAUCUCAUAAAGCCAUUCUCAGUUCGGAUUGU
rnacentral:rRNA from 1 species